rnacentral:lncRNA from 1 species
UCUCUUAUAGCUAAUGGACUCUUUUUUCCUUUUUCUUUUCAACUGCUUAUAGAGAAUGUUGAGAAAUUUCGUCAUUCUAACCUUCUCAUCCUGCUUGCUCUUGUCAUCCUAAUUAUAAUCUGCUGCUAAACGCCCAUUACUAAUUUUAUUUUCUCUUGUGCUCUUGAUUAUAGAAGUGGCUAAAUAUUGAAUAGAUUUGAUUUUGUGGUAACAAUAUCCUUUAGUAAAGAUUUACACUUUAUUCAUUUCUCUAUGUUAAGAAAUAUUAAUUUUAAUCAUUAAGCCCUAACCUAAAAUGGUCUAAUUCAGCUAAAAAUCUCAUCAUUAUUGUCGAAUUUCACUCAAAAUUGCAGAUUAGUGGCAAUGGAAUUAUCCAGGAAUAUCUGAAUCAGAGACUCGGUUUUAUGAAUGUGAAGUCUAGACUUCACGGUUUCACCUAAUCAGCUUCGUUUCAGCCGUUGCUACUAAAUAUUGCAUCUCAUUUUUGUUCCUGAAUUUUUUCAACUGCAGGUAUUAGAUCCAUAGUGGCUAUAAAUUACAUAGCCAAUAUAGAAUCAGUGUAAUGCUCAGUUCAAGCUUUGAGACAACUAUUGAAUUAUUUAAUUAAAUAUACACAGUAUUAGAAUGUUGCUAAAAUAUAAGUGGAUUUGGAUGUGUAAAGGCCAUCAUCUGAUGUGGUCUAAUAAUUAAAAAUUUCUUUGUUGUACGGAGAGCUCUUUGAUACGAAUAGACUUUGUUGGAGAUGUGCCAGACGCUGCAGAACAUUGUGCACUAGAACUCUGUCCACAAAUCCACUCUCAUAGUACAAAGGACACACUUGAAUCAAAUGCGGAGUCAGAUUAUUUUGUCUCACAACAAAAAUACUUUUUAUAAUUAGCAAAUUUGAAUGUCAUCAAAUAUUUUUACUCGAUUUUCAUUUUAGGAUUCUUACUUGUUUCAUUUACUCUGACCUCAACAAGUUGAUUAUCACAUAUUAGACAGGUUUAAGCACUGAAGUGAACUUAAAACCAAUAAUGGUCUUCUGUCACUUUGUAGGCUCAAGAUAACCUCAUGAACCUACCAUUGGCAAAUGGAUGGGGAGAAAAGCAUAGGUUCUUUGUGAAGUGGAAAUACGUUGAAGCUAAGGUAUCUUGUUUGUAUUUCUCUCACUUUAUUUGACACUUUCAAGAAGCAGUUCUUAUAUUAUUAGCAAGUGCCUUGCAAGUAGGAACUUAAUCUAAAGUUACUGGGUGCAUAACUACUAUGGUCUCUUGUACCUCAUUCCCCGGUCUUGCAAGUUGAUGAUAUGAAAAGUAACGACAGAGUGACUACUAUGAUUUUUAACUUAACAUUUACUUUCUGAGGUUUGGAUAGGUAAAUAUUCAUAAAAAUUUGAUAAUUGGGAUGAGUAUGAUUUAAUCUGACCUAUAACGAGUCUUCAUCAGCAUGCUUGUGAAUUUGAAGCUCAAAUUGAUGCAAGAAUUUCAUGUUCCUUAGGCCGCAGCAUAUUACUAUCAUGGUCUGAUUCUUGAUGAGGGAAACACAGAAAAGUCUCAUGGAAUGGCUGUAGCUGCUCUGCAAGCAGCGGAUGAGUAUCUCAAAGAAAGCAAGAAGGCUUGUGAAACUUUUAAUUCAUCCGUUCCUGUCUCUAGGUAAUGUUGUGCUCACUUUCCAACUGCUUCCAUGUUACAAAUGGGAUCGCUUGUCAAUUUCUUUCUUUAUUCAUAUUAAUUACUCAGAAAUACAUGUGUACCUUCUGUUUCAUUAUAUAACAUCGAGAAAUCUGAGAAAAUGGAGAUUCAAAAGAGAUCAGACCACACCAUUUAUGAUAGCUGUAAUUUACUCCUGUUUUGGUCCUCCAUAAGAAUUUGGUUAGGAACAUUUGAAAGGUAGCUUCUAGAACUGAGGUAUACAAAUAUAUAAGCCUUUGGAAUGGUUAUUUAUUUAUUUAUUAUUUCUUUUAAAGCUAUUUAUAGACAGUAAUUUCUUAUUUGUGUCCAUGUAGCAUGAACUAUAGCAAAUAAUGUUAGUAUUUAUUUUUUCCUAUCAGUGUACUGUAAAAAAAUGAGAUGGCAGAAAGAAAAAGCAUUGUAUAUCUUUGCAUGCUUUUGGCAUCUGUUUGGUCCUCCUAGUUUUACAUCUAUCCAUGUGACAUCUCCAUUUUUACCGAUUUUGCCUAAGAUCCAAUUUUAAAUGAAGAAAACAACAUUUUUCUACUUAAUCACGUAACAAUUUUUUAAGAUUGAAUAAUAGGUUAGUGUACAUUACAUUACGACUAAAGAUGAUCUUGAUGGCUCUGAGAAUCAGUAAAUUCUUAUUUCUGAUGCAGGAAUCCACCUCUUUGGGGAACAAUGAAGUAUCUCUCAGAGAAGAUUCCCAAGGACACUUCUAGCAAGGUCCGAAUUAACAGGGAUCUAUACUCUAGUGAAAAGUAAGUCUUCUUUAGUAUUAUAACUCCAAAAAAUACAAGUCAUUCAUGCACGUAUAUCAGCAUAGAUGUUAUACAAAUAUGGUGGUGGGGCUGCAACUCUUACGUUAACAACAGGAAAACAGUGAACCAGUUGAGCAGAAAUUUUUGGGGUCUUUGUUCACGGAAUUUAAUAGAUAUUCUUGCCUAACCACAUGGAAGCAAGGUUGGGUCUUGUCUAAUGUAAACUAAUUCUUUUGAAUGUAGAAUUAUGGAGACAGCACCAACUUUGCCUGACUUUGCAUUGGCUCUGAAACCUGAUGAAUAUCAGCUUCCUAUUGUUGAUGCAUUUUGGAAUGAGGAAACAAACAAGGCCCAAGUCAACCACGAGAAGCUUAAAGGGUAGCUUUGCACGGGUUCCACACAUAUCAAACUCUGAAAAAAUACAUGUCUGCAAAUGCAAUGGUACAUGCUGUUCAUAGACGAGGAAGGGUUGUAGAAGAAUUACCAAUCAAUUUUUUGGUUAAUUUGCAUCCCAAAGGUCCAUCCUCUUCUCUUUGGCUUUUCCAUUUCCCCCCCCUUUUGAUCUUCUUGUUAAUUGAAUCGUUUUGUAUCAUUUCCUACAAAUGUGUAAUAAUCCCCCCGUGAGAAAGAUUUGUACAACGACCUUUUAUGUUUACUUUUAACACUGGAGGGAAAGGAUAAAGAAUGAAUUUAUUUGCCAACGUAAAAAAUUCUUUUUCCUGUUGUCGUAGUUCAUAAAAAAUAAGUCGAUAAG